AUUCGUCAGUUGUUUGUCACUGUCAGUAUAAAAAUCAGGCACUGAAGGGUAGUGUGCGUGAUGUUUAUUCGAAUAAUUAUGCAACGAUUUUAAAUUAAUAAUAAAACCUGAGAAUCAACUAAUCUAUUUUUGUAAUAUUAAUGCGUAAAACACUAGAUCCAUGUGUAUUGGCUUUGUUUUAAGUGAUACGUUAUACGUUGUAUUUUAUAAAAAUGACAUCGUUGAUGAGUUUACGUAGUAAUUUAACACUUGGAAUACGAAAAUGGAAAAGCAGUAUAACACAACUACCGAAAAAAAGUCCAGAAAAUGGGUUAUGCAGGAGUUUUUCAACACGCGAGUUAUUAAAAGAGGCAUAUUGUCGUACGAAGUUAAAAUUUAAAUCAAAAAAAUUACCUCAAGAUGUAAAUCCAAGAGGCGUAUUUGCCUGCAAUGAGCUGGAUCUUUCUGAAGUCAAAGUGUAUGGUUUUGACUAUGAUUAUACUCUGGCACAUUAUAAACCGAGUCUGGAGCAUCUGCUCUAUAAUCUCGGCAGAGAAAUACUAUUAGAAAAGUAUAAGUAUCCUCCAGAAAUAUUACAGUUGGAAUACAAACCUAAUUUUGCUGUAAGAGGUUUACAUUAUGAUAUAGAGAAAGGCCUCCUUUUGAAACUGGACUCCUUUUUACAAAUACAAUUUGGGGCUGUGUACCGAGGGCUCUCGCAGGUGUCUUCUGAGGAAGUGCUUAAGUUAUACAGGAACAGAAUCAUACCCAUCGCAUAUGUUGAGGGAGAUACUAGAGCUCAUAAACCGAAUAGAGCUAAGAUGGUGCAUUUAGCAGAUUUAUUUUCAGUUCCUGAAAUGGGUUUACUGUGUAACGUAGCCGAGUAUUUUAUCAAAAAUCACAUUGACUAUCAUCCUGAAAUUUUGUUCUUAGAUGUCAAGAACUCGGUGCAAAGCUGCCAUCCUAUAAUGCACAAGAUAGUUGCUCAAAAUGUUAAGGAGUAUAUAAGGCCCAAUGCAGACCUGAGGAAAUACUUUCAAAUGCUGCAGGAUAAUGAUAAGAAGCUCUUCCUUGUCACAAAUAGUCCCUAUCAUUUUGUUAAUGCAGGCAUGGAGAUGUUGGUAGGCCAUGAUUGGCGAGAUUAUUUCGACGUAGUGAUCGUGAACGCGAAUAAACCCAAGUUCUUCACGGAGGUGUCGCGGCCCAUCCGAGUGUUUGACAAAAACGCCAAUACACACAUUUGGGAAAAAGUCACAUCAUUAGAAAAGGGAAUCAUUUAUUAUGAGGGUACGGUGAAGCAGCUACAAGACCUGACGGGCUGGUACGGGCACCAGGUGCUGUACUUCGGCGACCAUCCGUACAGCGACCUCGCUGAUGUCACGCUCGAGCAUGGCUGGCGUACUGGCGCUAUCAUUAACGAGUUGACGCACGAAAUCAACACCUUGAACACACAGUCGUUCAAGGAGAACGCGAACUGGCUGCAGAUGCUGACGCAGCUCAUUGAAGAUCAUCAGGACUACAAGGACCCUGAAGCUUUGGAGGUCGUCACCGAGUGGAUGGCCGAAAGGGACUACCUCAGGAAUGAAAUAAAGGCAGUGUUUAACCCACAAUUCGGUAGCGUGUUCCGUACAUACCACAACCCGACUUACUUCUCGCGGCGUCUGUUCCGCUUCGCCGACAUCUACACGUCCAACAUCUCCAACCUGAUGAACUACUCGCUCACGCACACCUUCUACCCGCGCCGCGGCGUCAUGCCGCACGAGUAUGGCUCUUAUUUCGUCUGAGUUAAGUGUCAUUGUUAUCUAGCUAAUGUAAUCACUUCGAAUAAGAUUAAUUUUAUUUAUGAAUUAGUUUCGUAGCAAUGUCACCUGUCACGUUUGCUGCGAUCUAGGAAUCUGUAAGAAUAAGAUACCUGAAUAGUUAAGCAAGAAUACUUUGAAAUAUGAACCGAUUGUCAUACGAUAUGAAUUAUAAAUGUAUUAUCAGUGGUUUUAGAUAUUUUCAUGAUGUUUGUAAAUAUUUUUAGUUUAUUGUUUUAGCAAUUUAGUAUAAAUAUACAAUGUAAGACUAAUAUAUCUACACUGUGGAUAUACUGCAAAUCAUCCAACGGUAUUCUAGUCAGAAGUAUUUAAUAUAAGUCUUACAAUAAGUUCAUUUUAUUUAUUUUCUUACUAUAUACAUAUCUUUACUGUCAAUUGGUCAGCUAAAACAUAGGAAAAUGUAGUGGGUGAAUUUCAAUUAAAUAUAAGUGAAGUGCAGAUUAAGGCCUCGUCGUCUCAGCGAACCCAUGUAUGUCGCCCAGUGACGACGCGGCUUUAGUCUGCAAGCAAUUGCAUACAACAUUGAAGUAUUUAAAGCUAACUUUUAGUAUUCUUUAAAGAGGUAUUACGGGUUCAUUUUGAUUUUAUCGUGGUUUAUUUAAAACUUUUGCUAUUAAUUUGACAAUUGUCGGUACAUCUAUCAUUAUAUACCUAUAUUAUAUAUUCAACCAGACUUUAUAAUGCUGGUAAACUGUAAUCGCAAUAGGUCAAAGUUAUACAUUAUUAUCUCUACAAAGAAUCUUAUUUUUAUUAAGCAUUUUGAAAGGUGUUUUAACGAGUGAUUGAAAUGAUUGCAUUAAAAAUCGGCGACUUAGCUUGUACCGGGAUUUUAAUAUUUUAUGUAUAUAAGAUUGGUUUUUGUUAAUAUUGUUUGCAGUGAUUUAUAAGACAUAUUUUACAAAAAUAUUUUUGUUGCUGUUUUUAUAUAGGACUUUAUUGUUGCUCGUAUUGGUUGAGUAAGUGUAAUAUAAAUAUGCAGGUCUUGCUAUAACUCAUAUAGUAGGUAAACGUAAUUAUACAUACUACCCUUAGAAUGUUUAAUGCUCGAGUAUUACGACUUACCAAUAUAACCGAAGACUAGUGGCUAGUGUGUUUCACCUGUGCCAUGUUGAGACAAUAACAUAACUGGAUGCACGUCUUGUCGUCUUUCAUAGUUAUGAUCUGUAGUAAACCGUGUUUAGAUAAAAUUAAUUACGUAUCAACUAUGAAUAUUUUGUCUAAUCGUCAGUGUUUAAGAGAAAUGUUGCAAUAAAAAAAUAUUUACACUGAA